UCCUGGGUAGUUUGACUCGGAUCGGCUU
rnacentral:piRNA from 1 species